AGGCAAUAUUAAUGGAAAAAUUAACUCUUUGCCAGGCCUUGAAUCAUUCUUAACAUUGUCUUUUACUUUUUUUCUUCAGCAAAAAACCUUCCAAACCUCAUUUAUUUAAUUAGAAAAUCAAGUAAUUAUAGUACAGUAAAAUGCACAAGCAUAGUUUGCUUGUGUUUUCAAGGCCAAGGCUUUGCACAGAGCUGUCUAAGUAUUGAUAAGAGGGCUGUGAACGUUCAGGUGGCUUUUUCAUUCAAAUUUUAUAGCUUCUGAUUAUGAGAUUUAAUGAACUAUUGACCUUUGUUCCAUAUUAUACAGCUUUUGCGUAUGAGAUUUACUGACCUUUGGUGGGUAUUACCCAUUGCAAAAAAUUCUGGAGCUUCUUUUCAGGUUCUGAUGUCAAUUUCUUCCAUCGAGCUGAUAAAUACAAAACCCCAUUCCUGUAAACUUAAAAGCACAGGCGUUGGAUGUACAGAAAUAAAGAAAAUUCAGAGAUCUUUUAGUCUAUGGAUUAGCAAGCAAGGCAGUCAGAGUAGGGCUGUAAGACCAGAAUUACUAAAUAGAAAUAUAAUGGUGCAUUUUUGCUAAUAAAAUCAUGUUUAGACUUCAUGAUUUCAAGUAGAUAUGUCCAUAAUAUAACUGUCAGUGCUAUUCAGAGGUCUUGAAAUAGGUUUAAGCAUCUCUGUCCUAUCCUAUAGUCUGCAGUAUAGACAGAGGCUGAGAAAGACAAUUUUCACUGCUGUGUUAUUUGAUUUCAGUCUGACACCUUUGCACACUACAUAGUUAAUCCACUUUGCUUUCCACAAUUUUGCCCAUAAACUAGAGAUCACAGUAUCACAAGAGCAACAGAAAAGGUUUUCUCAAUGGUACCUCCAAGAACAGUGAGCUGAAUUCAUAAAUAAUUGAACUGUGACAGCAGAGCUAAACUCAGCCCUGUUUUAAUGCUGAUGCCACAGCAACAGCUUACUAGUAAAGACAAUAUGCCCACAUCAUCCUGGCAACGCCAGGAUUUCUUUAGGCCUCCAGAUCAAUAUGACAUUAUUUAUCAAUAUGACUGAAUUUCUUUUUAAAUUUGCCAAAACAGAAAAAUGAGGCUAUGAUAGGUACACAAAAUAGGCCACUUAGGUACAGAUUCCUCAGUACAUCCUUAAUCUUAUGGAGUGACCUGCUGUAAAUGUACCUACAUGUGUAAGAUUUUGUCGAAGUGUCUAGAGAAUUUGUGACCCAUUAACCACUCUGUGCUCAUAUUAAUUUCUCUUUCCUAGGUUAGAAGGCUGCAUCCUUUACUGAGAGGUACCUUGUUGUUAUUCAGCUUUACAAUCACAAUACUUAAGUACCUGAAGCAUAUGUAAAAGUUGAACUUUAAUAAAAGCUUCUUUGUUAAUGUCUUUAUGCACUUCCCCAGAGAACAGUGGUCCUGCAAAACUAAGGUGCCAUGAGAAAUGAACACUUCCGUGCAUAAGGAAGCAUGUGCAUUUGGAGGAUGGUGGCUUGCAUUAUCCAGGAAAAUAACAACCCCCACAGGAUCAGCUCUGACAAUG